rnacentral:rRNA from 1 species
UACGAAGGGGGCUAGCGUUGCUCGGAAUCACUGGGCGUAAAGCGCACGUAGGCGGCUUUUUAAGUCAGGGGUGAAAUCCCAGGGCUCAACCCUGGAACUGCCUUUAAUACUGGGUAUCUCGAGUCCGAGAGAGGUGAGUGGAAUUCCGAGUGUAGAGGUGAAAUUCGUAGAUAUUCGGAGGAACACCAGUGGCGAAGGCGGCUCACUGGCUCGGUACUGACGCUGAGGUGCGGAAGCGUGGGGAGCAAACAGG